GUCGUGUUUAUUUUUAAAAAAAAAGUUUACUCCGUUUUUAGCGUUGCAGUUAUGACAGGCAAAAUCAGCCAGUACUUUAAAAAGCGACCUCGCGAGGAGGAAAGUCAAGAGUCCAGGUGAAACACAGCAGAGAAAAAACGUAACAGGCAGUUAAAAUGCUAUAAUUCAUAGUGGUGACAACGUGGAAACUUGUGUCAGGUCUGAAAGUACUUCACAAGGGACUGGUGAUCGCGAGGGUCAGAAUGCAGGACAGGACGAGUCGGCGAGGCGAGGGUAAUUAGUUUCCAAUUAGGAGCAUAACAACGCAAAGCCAACGUGUACGUGGUUUUUAUUUCUCUUUCUAGAUCUUCUCAAAAACACAGAGCCAGUGGCUUUGACAAGCAGUGGCUCAAUCAAUUUACCUGGCUCAGGCAUACUGAGGAAGGCAUGCACUGCUGUUUAUGCCAAAAGCACUGUGCCCCAACACAGCAGGCAAUUGCUGCCUCCUUAGUGAGACAGCCAUCAACCAACUACAGGCUGGACACAUUAAAAAGACAUGAGGUGAUAGCCGUUCACAAAGCAGCAGAAGAGAAGAAGUAUAUUAAAGAUGGUAGUACCUAAAAACACUCAACUAAUAAAGUUACAAAAAAUAAAUAACAUAGUUUAGAUAGUUUAAGAAAUAAUUGGUUGUCGUUUUUUUUUUUUAGGGAGGACACUGCAGCGUAUACAUAUAUAUGAUUGAAAACACUAUCACUCUUCAUGUCUGUAUCAGAAUAAAAACAAAAAUACUUAAUGCAUGAUGAAUUGUUUUGUUUAAGGUGAAGACACCUCUGUGGAGCAGACUGAAGGAGAGGC